AGUGAACGCUGGCGGCGUGCUUAACACAUGCAAGUCGAACGGGUAAGUGCUGUAGCAAUACAGAUUACUGCUAGUGGCAGACGGGUGAGUAAUAUAUGGGAAUCUGCCCUGGAGUUCGGGAUAACAGUUGGAAACGACUGCUAAUACCGAAUACUGCCGAGAGGCGAAAGAAUUUCGCUCCAGGAUGAGCCCAUAUGGGAUUAGCUAGUUGGUAGGGUAAUGGCCUACCAAGGCUACGAUCUCUAGCUGGUCUUAGAGGACGAACAGCCACACUGGAACUGAGACACGGUCCAGACUCCUACGGGAGGCAGCAGUGGGGAAUAUUGGACAAUGGGGGCAACCCUGAUCCAGCAAUGCCGCGUGAGUGAAGAAGGCCUUCGGGUUGUAAAGCUCUUUUGUCAGGGAAGAAACGGUGAAGGCUAAUAUCCUUUGCUAAUGACGGUACCUGAAGAAUAAGCACCGGCUAACUACGUGCCAGCCGCCGCAGUAA
rnacentral:rRNA from 1 species